UUGAGCUCGGAUCAGGUAGGGAUACCCGCUGAACUUAAGCAUAUCA
rnacentral:rRNA from 9 species